ACAAGAUUAAGCCAGUAAAUCUAGCAAAUAUUGUAGUGUUACUUUUGGCCGUUUUGUUACUUGGGUCAAAAGUAACAAUGUGCAACUUUUGUUUAAAGUGAAGUUAUAUUAGGGUUGUUCUGCAUUGAUACAAAAUAACAGCUGUUUUUAAAAAAAAAACACUGUUGUGAAUAGUGACUACAGCAAAAAUAAACUUUUAAAAUUAGAUUUUUAUGAAAAAUGUUACUUUCGUCUUCGCUUUCCCAUAUUUUUUCAAUGGUAUGUCCCAAAAUCAUUUUACAAUUGGAUUCAAGUUAAGUGAAUUCAUUUGACAUCAUAAUGAACAUCCUGCAAAACUCUCUAUGAAUCUAUUUUUCUAAGAGCAUCCCACACUUGAUGUGAGCAAAGUGAUGCCUGUUAAAUAUCAACAAUGGUUUAAAAACAUUAUGUAACCCAGAUUACUGAAGGGUUAUAUUUGUACAUUUAUAAAAUAAUAUAAAUGAUCAGGGGAUAAAACAACAUAUAACUGUGGAUUCAUUGUUCUAAAAUGUUCUUAAUAAGAAAUAAAUUGUUUAAAAAUAAUAAUGUGAAAUAUUCACAUGUUAUUGGUUUAACCAAUCAGUGAUGUGUGGGAGGGAUUUGCGCUUGCUGACGCAGUGGGAAGAGAUCGCCAGACUGUGGAGGAAGAGAGAGUGAGAUCGCUAGAUUUGAUGAUUUAAACUGUGAAAUUAGAUUAUAACUUUGAAACUAGUUUGAGAAACUUACAGAAAGCUUUCAUAGAGAAGUAUUUGAAGAGGAUUCAGUCGUUAAAUUGUUCCUGUGACGAUCGAUGGGAAAAUUGCAUCAUUGUGUUGUUGAGUGAAUAUAUGGACAUGGUCAGGUUUUUUUUCUUUGGUGUUUUUGAUUGAAGACUGAUUCACAUUGAUGGCGGGCCAACCUAUUCGGACACUAGAAAAGGAAACUGGAAAUUCACCCUACUGAACCAGGAGAGUACUUUAAUACUUUUUAUUUUUCCAGCUCAAGGUAAAAGACUGUUUUUUUCCGUUUCUGGAUAGAGACUGUUCGUGUUUUUCCCUGAGAACUGAUUAAGAAAAAAGACUAAUACCAGCGCACGGACACUUGAAAAUCAAACUAUUUUCCUUUUGAAGUGAAAUGAGAAAUACUGAGUUUGUUGAUUCUGAACAAGUGGUUUUCUUUACAUUUUCAAUGUAAUUUCAAUUGAACUUUAUUUUGUUUUAUUGUGUUUUAAUUGUUUUAUUGUAUUUUGUUAAUUUUAUUUUGGGGAAAGAUCUGCAGAAAAAUAUAUCUAUAAACAUUUCAAAUACUUACCUA